rnacentral:lncRNA from 1 species
UUGUGAUUCCCGGAAAGAAUCUAAGUCUGGGGGAAUAGCUGUUUACAACAAAGGAGGAAGGAUUAUGCAACAACAUAUGGCAAGAAGAAGUGACUGAAAAUUGCGGUCAUCAACAGGUCCUUAUAUCUCUUGCGGUUUUGCAUAUUAUCUUGCAUCCUCCAUAUCUUCAGGUAACCCAAAACACUUUAACUCCACCACUUAAACAGCUCUUUAAUGCCAAACGCCGUCUACCC